GACGAACGCUGGCGGCGUGCUUAACACAUGCAAGUCGAACGGAAAGGCCCUGCUUUUGUGGGGUGCUCGAGUGGCGAACGGGUGAGUAACACGUGAGUAACCUGCCCUUGACUUUGGGAUAACUUCAGGAAACUGGGGCUAAUACCGGAUAGGAGCUCCUGCUGCAUGGUGGGGGUUGGAAGGUUUCGGCGGUUGGGGAUGGACUCGCGGCUUAUCAGCUUGUUGGUGGGGUAGUGGCUUACCAAGGCUUUGACGGGUAGCCGGCCUGAGAGGGUGACCGGCCACAUUGGGACUGAGAUACGGCCCAGACUCCUACGGGAGGCAGCAGUGGGGAAUAUUGCACAAUGGGCGGAAGCCUGAUGCAGCAACGCCGCGUGCGGGAUGACGGCCUUCGGGUUGUAAACCGCUUUCGCCUGUGACGAAGCGUGAGUGACGGUAAUGGGGAAAGAAGCACCGGCUAACUACGU
rnacentral:rRNA from 1 species